rnacentral:rRNA from 1 species
UACGUAGGCAGCAAGCGUUGUUCGGAGUUACUGGGCGUAAAGGGUGUGUAGGCGGCUUUCUAAGUUUGGUGUGAAAUCUCCCGGCUCAACUGGGAGGGUGCGCCGAAGACUGGGAGGCUAGAGUAUGGGAUGGGAGAGUGGAAUUCCUGGUGUAGCGGUGAAAUGCGUAGAUAUCGGGAGGAACACCUGUGGCGAAAGCGGCUCACUGGACCACAACUGACGCUGAGGCGCGAAAGCUAGGGGAGCAAACAGG